rnacentral:ncRNA from 1 species
GCAGAGUAGACAUUCGAGCGUUAAGUGUUGUAUGGACGGGGAGUUGCCAUACGGACGAAGGGAAGACCGCGGUUCGAAUGUCGCAUCCCGCUGC